rnacentral:lncRNA from 1 species
UUUUUUUUUUAGUGAACUGUUUAUAACACAGUCUUAAUUAAUUUAAAUUCUCAUAAACAUUAAUUAUUAACUUUAUUAUGCUUAUUAAAGUUUAAUGAAAUAUUUUAGAAUUUCAAAUGUGUAUUCUUAUUGGUCUUGGAACAAAAAUAUGAAAAAAAAAAAAAAAAAACUUGUCUUCUAUGCUAUUAAUAGUGUUUUUUUAUAGGGCUAUAAUGUUUUUCAUG